GNCGGGAUAGCUCAGUUGGUAGAGCAGAGGACUGAAAAUCCUCGU
rnacentral:tRNA from 1 species